GACGAACGCUGGCGGCGUGCCUAAUACAUGCAAGUCGAACGCAGUGGGGACGGGUGAGUAACACGUGGGUAACCUCCCAUCAGAGGGGAUAACACUUGGAAACAGGUGCUAAACUGAUACUGAUGGUUGGACCCGCGGUGUAUUAGCUAGGUGGUGAGGUAACGGCUCACCAAGGCCACGAUGCAUAGCCGACCUGAGAGGGGUGUCGGCAACACUGGGACGGCGACACGGCCCAGACUCCUACGGGAGGCAGCAGUAGGGAAUCUUCGGCAAUGGACGAAAGUCUGACCGAGCAACGCCGCGUGAGUGAAGAAGGUUUUCGGAUCGUAAAACUCUGUUGUUAGAGAAGCGGGAUCUAACCAGAAAGCCACGGCUAAAUUCGGGCCAGCAGCCGCGGUAAUAC
rnacentral:rRNA from 1 species